GCCUGGAUAGCUCAGUUGGUUAGAGCGGGGCAUUGGUAACGCCGAGGUUGCAGGUUUGAUCCCCGUAUGGGACA